AAAAAUAAAAUGCUUCGCUGAGCGCAGCCUGAUACGACCGCAGAGGUCGAACCCUGAACAGUUUGGGCAAAUUUGGACACAAUAUUCAAGCUUGAUACUGUCUGAAUUUGGAUUGUGAUCAAAUUUUUGACAUAAUAUAGGUUUCUGACACAAAAUAAAUGUGGUCAAAGAUCUUACAAAUAUAUUGCGCAAUACUGUCGAUUGAAGAUUUCUUCUUGAAACUUUUCAAAAAUUUGAAA